CGUGAGGGGCAAACGUUGUUCGGUGUCACUGGGCUUAAAGGGCGCGUAGGUGGCUAUGUAAGUAAGGUGUGAAAGCCCUCGGCUUACCCGGGGAAUUGCGCCUUAAACUACAUAGCUUGAGGGUCAGAGAGGUUGGAGGAACUCCAGGUGUAGCGGUGAAAUGCGUAGAUAUCUGGGGGAAGGCCGGCGGCGAAGGCGUCCAACUGGCUGAUUCCUGACACUGAGGCACGAAAGCGUGGGGAGCAAACAGGAUUAGAUACCCUGGUAGUCCACGCCCUAAACGAUGGAUACUAAGUGAGGGACCUUCCAAGUGUUCCUUGCCGUAGCGAAAGCGUUAAGUAUCCCGCCUGGGGAGUAUGGUCGCAAGGCUG
rnacentral:rRNA from 1 species